GCUCCGCCCCACUGGUAGUAAUUUGAAACAUGGUACAAGUUUGUGUGAAUGUGGAGAAGAGGAGGAGCGUGUUGAACAUGUUAUUUGUUAUUGUCAAAGGUAUGAAAUAAGCAGAGGGAGGCUAAGAGAGAAAAGUGGGGUUCCGGUAUUUAAUCUGAGACAUGUACAGAAGAAAUUUCAGUUUUUAAAUGAAACAGGAUUGAUAAAGAGUAUCUAGUUUAAAUUUUAUUUGUUUUGUUAUGUAUUAUUUUUGCUCCCUAGUACUGUACAUAUGAUAUGUAUAGACGUACUCCGAUCCACCCUCCAGCACAGUAGGUGGCGAUAUUGCAUCUUCGACGUUUGAUGCCACCCGCCAACAAACAAAAAGAAGAAGAGGAAGCUAACACUGAGAGCUAGCUAAACUGCAUCUGUAGUAUAGCUCCUGAAUCGUAGUUUACAUUGUUUUUUGGGUUUUUUUCAACAAACUGGCUAAAAGAUGCCUCCCUCGACUGUGGAUGCACAGUUUAAUUCCACAACACUAAUUAAACCCUCCAACAAGGACAGAAAAUGGUGGAUUUUCUCUCGAUCAUGCUCCUCUGCCUCCCUCUCCAUCUCUUUACACCAUCCCUCCAUCCUUUUGGAUUCAUUGUGAAGAAGCUGCAUGAACCAGCCGCCAUCCCUGCGAAGAGGAGACACUCGACCCAUCUCGCUGGCCUCCAGGCUAGGUUCAGCCAGCCAGGGUUCAGGCUGCGGGCUGGGGGCCCCACUGGAGGCCCGAUAGUCCUCUCUGUAGCUAAACAGGCCCUGGGUGCGCACUGUGCGGAUGGCCCCGUACUGCGUGGGCGUGCUGGGCUCAGAGUGGCGACCAAAAGCGCCACCGAACUGCAGACCCUUGUCUUCCAUGGAAGGGAAGCCCUCCAACUCCAUGUCGGCUUGCACUGCAGUGGUAACACUGUUGGAGCGCUUGACCCGCCCACGCCUAAACGUGCACGGGUCAUCUGAUUAAUGUUGGCGUACAAAUCCAGGACGAGGUGAAGAGACAACAUCACAGUUAUGAAAAUGUAAUGAAAAGGCAAGUGCCUCGUACCUUUUGUGAUCCUCCACCUGGAUACCUAUAGAGUGAAACUGCGGAAGGCCCUUGCUUUCAGUCUCGGAAUCUGUCACAGUUUCCACCUGUUGAAGAGAUGGCACAACUUGACAUUCAAAUUGAAAUAUAAUCAAACUUGUCACAAACUCCGAAGAGAAGCUUGAACUUUUCCACAUGCAUUCUUCUGCUGCGUCAUGACUCUCUUUAGGUACGAAUUCCUUGCAGGGCCUCUGAGUGGUGCUUUACAGUACAGUACAGUGUGUGCACAGCGACAUUGGCAUUGUUGAACCUGUUCAGAAUUGUUUGCACUAGCUGUUUGUAAAUACAACUGCUCGGAAUCUCGUAGCUUGUAUUUUACCUGUUUCAUAUUUGGAUGGAUUUAUAUUGUUAUACUGGUCACAUGGGUUUGUGUCUACAUUAAAUGAUGUGCAAAAUAUAGGGAUCAUUUUGAAAAGACAUUUGUUGUGCUAAGUCUGUCCAAAAACCAUUUUUUAUGACGUGUUCUUAUGUAAUUCAACUUCCACGAUUGUCAUUGGACAGUAGUGAAAAGAAGAUAAUAACUAAGAUUCAAUAAAAAGCAAUCCCUAAAUCUCUAAGACUACUUAGAUAUCAACCCUAUGGUAACGCACAGAAAAGUUGGAGUUACUGGAGACUAGACAUGGGAGUAAUAAUCAAUUAAUUUCUCAUUCAAAAUUCUGUCAGUUGUCUGGAAUGGAUUGUUGAGUCAUCUCAUCUUGAACCAGCUGUAGCAAAAUGCGGUGUAAUACUUGUAUGUAACCAGCAGCGGCGCUGUUGAGUUAGUCUAGUUUGUCGUCCAAGCAAAUCAACAUAAAGUUAGUUACAGGAAGUUGAGCGAUGUCCAUGCUGACCCCUGCUCUUGGCAAAAUUAUUCUGUUCCAUACCACAUUGGCAUGGAAACAGGGGUUCUGACCAAAACCCAUUACUAACAAUCGAUAAGAUAAAUUAAAAUUGCUUGAUCGACAAUGGUUAUUGUAUACCUAGCCCUA